rnacentral:rRNA from 1 species
CCCUUAGAUGUUCUGGGCCGCACGCGCGCUACACUGAUGCAUUCAACGAGUCUAAAACCUGCUCUGAUAGGGGUGGGUAAUCUUUUGAAUGUGCAUCGUGAUUGGGAUAGAUGAUUGCAAUUUUUCAUCUUCAACGAGGAAUGCCUAGUAAACGCAAGUCAUCAGCUUGCAUUGAUUACGUCCCUGUCCUUUGUACACACCGCCCGUCGCUCCUACCGAUUGAAUGAUCCGAUGAAUAUCAUGGAUUGAGGAUUAUAGCAGGUUCGCCUGUCUUGAUCUUCGAGAAGUGAAGUAAAUCUUAUCAUUUAGAGGAAGGAGAAGUCGUAACA